AUUGAACGCGGGCGGCGUGCUUAACACAUGCAAGUCGAACGUGAUUUUGUGGAAAUUCUUUUCGGGAAUGGAAAUGAAAUGAAAGUGGCGAACGGGUGAGUAACACGUGAGCAACCUACCUUACACAGGGGGAUAGCCGUUGGAAACGACGAUUAAUACCGCAUGAGACCACAGAAUCGCAUGAUAUAGGGGUCAAAGAUUUAUCGGUGUAAGAAGGGCUCGCGUCUGAUUAGCUAGUUGGAAGGGUAAAGGCCUACCAAGGCGACGAUCAGUAGCCGGUCUGAGAGGAUGAACGGCCACAUUGGAACUGAGACACGGUCCAAACUCCUACGGGAGGCAGCAGUGGGGAAUAUUGCACAAUGGGGGGAACCCUGAUGCAGCGACGCCGCGUGAGCGAAGAAGGUUUUCGAAUCGUAAAGCUCUGUCCUAUGAGAAGAUAAUGACGGUAUCAUAGGAGGAAGCCCCGGCUAAAUACGUGCCAGCAGCCGCGGUAAUACGUAUGGGGCGAGCGUUGUCCGGAAUUAUUGGGCGUAAAGGGUACGUAGGCGGCCUUUUAAGUCAGGUGUGAAAGCGUGAGGCUUAACCUCAUUAAGCACUUGAAACUGGAAGACUUGAGUGAAGGAGAGGAAAGUGGAAUUCCUAGUGUAGCGGUGAAAUGCGUAGAUAUUAGGAGGAAUACCGGUGGCGAAGGCGACUUUCUGGACUUUUACUGACGCUCAGGUACGAAAGCGUGGGGAGCAAACAGG
rnacentral:rRNA from 1 species